UACGUAGGGUGCAAGCGUUGUCCGGAAUUAUUGGGCGUAAAGAGCUCGUAGGCGGUUUGUCGCGUCUGCUGUGAAAACCCGAGGCUCAACCUCGGGCCUGCAGUGGGUACGGGCAGACUAGAGUCAGGUAGGGGAGAACGGAAUUCCUGGUGUAGCGGUGAAAUGCGCAGAUAUCAGGAGGAACACCGGUGGCGAAGGCGGAUCUCUGGGCCUGAUCUGACGCUGAGGCGCGAAAGCUAGGGGAGCGAACAGG
rnacentral:rRNA from 1 species